rnacentral:rRNA from 1 species
CGCGCUUAAGCAUGCAGGUCGAACGGCAAGAGGUAGCAAUACCUCCUAGAGUGGCGGACUGGUGAGUAACACGUGGGUGACAUACCCUUCAGAUGGGGAUAGCUAUAGAAAUAGUAGAUAAUACCGAAUACGAGCACAGGGGUUAGAGAUCUGUGAGGAAAGGAGCUAAGGCUCCGCUGAAGGAAUGGCCUGCGGCCCAUUAGCUAGUUGGUGAGGUAAGAGCCCACCAAGGCGAUGAUGGGUAUCCGGCCUUAGAGGGUGAACGGACACAUUGGGACUGAGAUACGGCCCAGACUCCUACGGGAGGCAGCAGCUAAGAAUAUUCCGCAAUGGACGAAAGUCUGACGGAGCGACGCCGCGUGGAUGAAAAGAAGGCCGGAAGGUUGUAAAAUCCUUUUGAAACUGAAGAAUAAGCGUUGUAGGGAAUGACAGCGUGGUGACAGUAGGUUUUGAAUAAGCAACGGCUAAUUACGUGCCAGCAGCAGC